ensembl:lncRNA
AGGAGUUGGACAAGGUGACCUUUAAGGGUCCCUACCAACAAAAGCAAUUCUACUAUUCUAGCAGCAGAACACCUCAUAUCUCAGAUACAAUUUUUUUUUUAAUCCUUAUCAUGAAGAGAAGAAGAAAGGGAAUAAGUUAUCUUCUGUCCCUCUCACUUCAAAGCUACCUUUAAUGAUUUUAUCCCUUUGGACUAAAACUUGUGAGCUCAGAACUUGAUUCAACACCAAAACAUGGUGCAAGUUGUAUAAGAACCAGGAAAAGUAUAUAUAUCCAGUGUUGCUGUGAAGGAACUUCCUCCUGAAGCAAGUGCAACUGCUCUCCCACUGCACGUCUUGCUAGGGGGUGCACAACAACAACGUGUGGCUUUACAGAGAGAAACAUGUCACAUGCCAUGGCUUACAUGCUCCCAGAUUUCCAUCUGCCCCACUGCCUAUAGCAAGGAGCAGCAAACACACAACCAAAACAACACUGGGAAUUCUAUGCCAUAUGCACACCACUUAUGCAAUUCCCCAGGGCCUCAGAAAUGAAGAGGAAUGCAAUAAAGCACUCUCAAAGAAAGAGGAAAAGGAAGCAGGGUUGACACAAGACACAAAACCACCGUGAAACAACUUAGAAGCAGCUCUUGAAAGGCUGGCAUUUGCAGUUAAUAACUCAACACAGAAAAACUUGAACCUGUAAAAAAGAAAGUUGGCAGCAAAUGACAAAACUUGUUUUCCCUGUUUCUAACACAACCCUUGAGGGGCAUGAAAAAAUGACCUUCUUCAGUGGGUGAAGUAGUGCUGUGCCACAGCAAUAACCAGAAAUGCAAUGCAGAGACACCAGUGCUAUCAGAUCGACACACAAGGACAAAAGAACUGGAAGGACAGGGCAAAUUAGUAUGUGAAAAUAAGAGAAGAGAAAUCACUUGUAAUCAGAUUUUAAUCUCAUUAAGGAUUGCUUGCUCAUUCUUUUCAUUCUGCUACCCCACUUUCAAAGGUAGCAUCAGCCAGAAAUCAUAAUUAUGGUAAGUCAGUGAGAUAUUCUAACGUUCCCAUCUGAUUGAAGGGAUGCCACAAAUUUCAAUGUACGUCAAAAAUCUCAUUUAUGAAGAAAUAUAUCAAGCUAUAAGGAAAAAUAAGAUUUCCUCCUUUUUAAGUACAUUAAAUAGAGUAAAUCAUACAAAGUAUAGCAUCAAUAACAUGCACCGUCUCAUAUUUUAAUUAUUGGUAAACAUGCUUUGAUGCAGGAAAUGACAGGCGUGACAUAUAUCCUACCUAACCUAGACAGAUGUAUAUCACAUACCAACUCCUUAAUUUUGAUUUAGUGCAGGUUUAUUUCUUGGAAUGCACCAAGCUGUUGCAGUAAGAAGCCCAAAGAUACAGGAAAAUGCUGAAUGGUGACAGAUGUAAGAGAGAACUUUAACAUGAAAUAAUGUUAAACGGAAGUUUCUACAAUCAACCAAGUCUACUCAGCCUGUAGCCUAUUCACAUGCAAUCAAAGAUCAUAUUAUCUAGACCUUCUGCAAGGUCUUGAGACAUCGUACAAAUCCCAUACUAUUCUGCUAAAUAUUGUUUUUCUUUUCCUUCAGUGCUCUAGGUAGCUGCUGGUGUUUCUUCUAGUCAACACAAUUCUACCUGCACUGCCUGGCCAUCCCUACAGUACUGCAUCUGGCAAACACCUUCCACACGAACAGACUCUGGUAGAAAUAACUGGACAUCGGUAAAAUUAAUCAGUGAAUGAAUUGUGGAUUUUUAGCAUUUUUAGCUGGAAGACAGACAGGAGAAAUGCAGUAUUUUAAGUUGCAUAUUGGUACCCACAGAAGUCCCAUCCUACUCAAAAAACAGUCAUUAAAAGCACCAAACUACCAACAGAAGAAUAAGCUUACAAUGUAUCAUUUACCACACUAUAUAACGCCUUACUAAUGAAAGUGUGAAAGUACAAAGUUAAACAUAACACAAUCUAAUGUUUAUAUAUUUAUGUUAACAAGAAAAGGAUGAAAUAUAAACACAAAAAGCCAGCAUUUGCAAGAGCAGCUUCAUGCAGUGAGGAACAAUAUCUAAACCACUGUUGCCUUUUUUUUAUUCUUUUAAAUUAAUUUAAAAAUACUGCAUGUCAUGAGAAUCAAUGACUCAGGAAAAUCACGAGACUUUACUGCAUGUCAUGACAAUCAAUGGCAUCAGAACCAAUGGCUCAGGAAAACUGAUCUUUUUUUUUUCACUCCCUUGCAAGUUUUUUCCAUUUCUGUUUGACCAGAGUGACAAUCUGAACUCAACAAGCUAUCCCAAAUAAAGUUU